UAUAUUAUUUGAAGACAAACUAUUGCGAGAGUGCAUUGUAGUUGCAUUGCACUUGUUAUUUAUUAUGUGCAAUAUUUCUACAAAGCAAAUCUCGCUCUAGUUGCUUUCGUCAUACAUACAU
rnacentral:pre_miRNA from 12 species